CAUCCCGGAGCGCAUCCCGAGCGCCGGAGCUGCGCUGGGACCGCGGGAGCGCGAUCCCCGAGCGGACACACGGACAGACCGACAGACGGACAGACGGAGCGGAGCCGCACCGAGCCCCUCUCGGGCUCGUCCCACCCUUCCUCUGCCGGCCCGACCCUCCCCUGCCUCCCCAGCUCCAUCCCUGUCUCACCCGACCCCCUCCCUGCGGGUUGGAACGAGAUGAGCUCUGAGGUCCCUUCCAGCCCACCCCGUUCUGUGAUUCCAGGAUUCCUUUGGAGCACGGAGCCCAGCAGAAGGCAGAGCCCGGGGCUGGCCCGUGGCUGAAGGCUCUGCCGGGAGCUUUGGACCUUUGUUGCGGUGAGGAGCUCUCUGCAGGUUUUUUUGCCAGCCCGAAUCAACGGAGAAAUUGCAGCUGGGAAAAGUGACCAGGAACAGAACAGAACUGGUCACCCAGACCACUGCUGUGCUCCAGGACAGGAUGGAAUUUACACUGCCUGCAUUCUGGCUCACCAGGUCCAACCUGUCUGCAAAACUCUCCAACAGAGCAGGGAGUGAUUAUCCAGACCUCUGACUUCCCAGGACAAUCAUUUGCUUUCUCCCUUCUCUUCAAUUGCAUGAAAGAUUCAGAGGAGAAAAAAUUGGAUUUAAAAUAGAUAAGGCUGGAAACAGGAUUUUCUACAUUUUUACAUGCUACAACAUGAAAUUAAUUUACUUGACACUGUGGUGUCUCAGGAGUCAGUAUCAAUUUUUAUAGCUUACAUGAAAAUAAAUCUUUCUCUCUCCUUACAGCA